GACUGACCCCCGCGGUCCGCGUCUUCGAUCCGCGUCGAGCGGUUUUUUACUCGCAUGCCCUUCUUCCGUCGCCUCGCUCCCUCACCACUUUCGUCCGCUCCUCUACUUCUUUCCCGCGAUCUCUUUCAAGUUCUUUCCCGCGAUCUCUUUCAAGUUCGUGGAAAACGACCAAAGGUUAAGCCCUCCCCUCUACCUUCCGCUCCUUCUCUAAUUCUUCCCCGCCAUCUCUUCCCAUUUCAUGGAAAACGAUGAAGCAGAAAAUAGGGAAGAGUUUGGAGGGGUACAGUAAGGUGAAGGGGGAAGAGAAGGAGAUUGCACCUGUGAGGACGAGCUCCAUGAAUCAUUCUGGUUCAAGGCCAUAGCUUGACCUUACUGCGACAGCAAUUAAGAGUAAUUCGGAGGAGAGGAACCCCACAAUUUUGCUGCCUAACCAGUCUGAUGGCAUCCCUCACGUGGCCCUGGAUGUCCUUUACAUUGCCAUGAGAGCCCGACAAAAUAUCCAUCCGGGAUCUGAAGAGCCACAACUAG